rnacentral:rRNA from 1 species
AGAGUUUGAUCAUGGCUCAGGAUGAACGCUGGCGGCGUGCUUAACACAUGCAAGUCGAACGAAUUACUUUAAAAGAAGUCUUCGGAUGGAAAAUAAAGUAGUUAGUGGCGGACGGGUGAGUAACGCGUGGGAAACCUGCCCUAUACAGGGGGAUAGCCUCGGGAAACCGGGAUUAAUACCCCAUAAAGCUCUAGAAUCGCAUGAUUCAAGAGUCAAAACUCCGGUGGUAUAGGAUGGUCCCGCGUACCAUUAGCUAGUAGGUGGGGUAAUGGCCUACCUAGGCGACGAUGGUUAGCGGGUCUGAGAGGAUGAUCCGCCACACUGGCACUGGAACACGGGCCAGGCUCCUACGGGAGGCAGCAGUGAGGAAUAUUGCGCAAUGGGGGAAACCCUGACGCAGCGACGCCGCGUGAGUGAGGAAGGCCUUCGGGUCGUAAAGCUCUGUCAAGAGGAAAGAAGUGUACAAUGGCUAAUACCUGUUGUAUUUGACGGUACCUCUAAAGGAAGCACCGGCUAACUCCGUGCCAGCCGCGGC